AUUGAACGCUGGCGGCAGGCCUAACACAUGCAAGUCGAACGAGUGGCGGACGGGUGAGUAAUGUCUGGGAAACUGCCUGAUGGCGGGGGAUAACUACUGGAAACGGUAGCUAAUACCGCAUACCAUCAGAUGUUCCCGGAUGGGAUUAGCUAGUUGGUGGGGUAACGGCUCACCAAGGCGACGAUCCCUAGCUGGUCUGAGAGGAUGACCAGGCACACUGGAACUGAGACACGGUCCAGAGUCCGACGUGAGGCAGCAGUGGGGAAUAGUGCACAAUGGGCGCAAGACUGAUGCAGCCAUGCCGCGUGUAUGAAGAAGGCCUUCGGGGUGUAAAGUACUUUCAGCGGGGAGGCGUUACCCGCAGAAGAAGCACCGGCUAACUCCGUGCCAGCCGCCGCGGUAAUUC
rnacentral:rRNA from 1 species